rfam:TPA: Bos taurus chromosome 24, whole genome shotgun sequence.
UCCCUGGUAGCUCAGACGGUAAAAGCGUCCGCUUGCAAAGCGGGAGACCCGGGUUCAAUCCCUGGGUUUGGAA